UACAGAGGUUGCAAGCGUUGUUCGGAUUUACUGGGCGUAAAGGGUGCGUAGGCGGUUCUGCAUGUCGGGUGUGAAAUCCCACGGAUCAUCUGUGGAACGGCAUUCGAAACUGCAGGGCUUGAGUGUCGGAGAGGAGGGCGGAAUUCUCGGUGUAGCGGUGAAAUGCGUUGAUAUCGAGAAGAACGCCGGUGGCGAAGGCGGCCCUCUGGACGGCAACUGACGCUGAGGCACGAAAGCUAGGGGAGCAAACAGG
rnacentral:rRNA from 1 species